rnacentral:rRNA from 1 species
CCCUUAGAUGUUCUGGGCUGCACGCGUGCUACAAUGGCGUUUCCAGCAAGUCUGCGAACCCGAGAGGGCCAGCGGAUCUUCGAAUUGGCGUCGUGAUCGGGACAGUCGAUUGCAAUUAUUUGACUCAAACGAGGAAUUCCUUGUAAUCGCGAUUCAUCAUAUCGCACUGAAUACGUCCCUGCCCUUUGUACACACCGCCCGUCGCUCCUACCGAUUGAGCGAUCCGGUAAAUGUUUUGGAUUGGUGCCGGGGCGGCUAGCUGCCGGUCGCUACGAAAUUUUGUGAACCUUAUCGCUUAGAGGAAGGAAAAGUCGUAACA